GACGAACGCUGGCGGCGUGCUUAACACAUGCAAGUCGAACGGAAAGGCCCUGCUUUUGUGGGGUGCUCGAGUGGCGAACGGGUGAGUAACACGUGAGUAACCUGCCCUUGACUUUGGGAUAACUUCAGGAAACUGGGGCUAAUACCGGAUAGGAGCUCCUGCUGCAUGGUGGGGGUUGGAAAGUUUCGGCGGUUGGGGAUGGACUCGCGGCUUAUCAGCUUGUUGGUGGGGUAGUGGCUUACCAAGGCUUUGACGGGUAGCCGGCCUGAGAGGGUGACCGGCAAAAUGGGGACGGAGAUACGGCCAAGACCCCUAGGGAGGCAGCAGUGGGGAAUAUUGCACAAUGGGCGGAAGCCUGAUGCAGCAACGCCGCGUGCGGGAUGACGGCCUUCGGGUUGUAAACCGCUUUCGCCUGUGACGAAGCGUGAGUGACGGUAAUGGGUAAAGAAGCACCGGCUAACUACGUG
rnacentral:rRNA from 1 species